rnacentral:rRNA from 3 species
UCAAGUGAAUAAGUGCAUCAGGCGGAUGCCUUGGCGAUGAUAGGCGACGAAGGACGUGUAAGCCUGCGAAAAGCGCGGGGGAGCUGGCAAUAAAGCUAUGAUUCCGCGAUGUCCGAAUGGGGAAACCCACUGCAUUCUGUGCAGUAUCCUAAGUUGAAUACAUAGGCUUAGAGAAGCGAACCCGGAGAACUGAACCAUCUAAGUACCCGGAGGAAAAGAAAUCAACCGAGAUUCCGCAAGUAGUGGCGAGCGAACGCGGAGGAGCCUGUACGUAAUAACUGUCGAGAUAGAAGAACAAGCUGGGAAGCUUGACCAUAGCGGGUGACAGUCCCGUAUUCGAAAUCUCAACAGCGGUACUAAGCGUACGAAAAGUAGGGCGGGACACGUGAAAUCCUGUCUGAAUAUGGGGGGACCAUCCUCCAAGGCUAAAUACUCAUCAUCGACCGAUAGUGAACCAGUACCGUGAGGGAAAGGCGAAAAGAACCCCGGGAGGGGAGUGAAACAGAACCUGAAACCUGAUGCAUACAAACAGUGGGAGCGCCCUAGUGGUGUGACUGCGUACCUUUUGUAUAAUGGGUCAACGACUUACAUUCAGUAGCGAGCUUAACCGGAUAGGGGAGGCGUAGGGAAACCGAGUCUUAAUAGGGCGAUGAGUUGCUGGGUGUAGACCCGAAACCGAGUGAUCUAUCCAUGGCCAGGUUGAAGGUGCCGUAACAGGUACUGGAGGACCGAACCCACGCAUGUUGCAAAAUGCGGGGAUGAGCUGUGGGUAGGGGUGAAAGGCUAAACAAACUCGGAGAUAGCUGGUUCUCCCCGAAAACUAUUUAGGUAGUGCCUCGAGCAAGACACUGAUGGGGGUAAAGCACUGUUAUGGCUAGGGGGUUAUUGCAACUUACCAACCCAUGGCAAACUCAGAAUACCAUCAAGUGGUUCCUCGGGAGACAGACAGCGGGUGCUAACGUCCGUUGUCAAGAGGGAAACAACCCAGACCGCCGGCUAAGGUCCCAAAUGAUAGAUUAAGUGGUAAACGAAGUGGGAAGGCACAGACAGCCAGGAUGUUGGCUUAGAAGCAGCCAUCAUUUAAAGAAAGCGUAAUAGCUCACUGGUCGAGUCGUCCUGCGCGGAAGAUGUAACGGGGCUCAAAUCUAUAACCGAAGCUGCGGAUGCCGGUUUACCGGCAUGGUAGGGGAGCGUUCUGUAGGCUGAUGAAGGUGCAUUGUAAAGUGUGCUGGAGGUAUCAGAAGUGCGAAUGUUGACAUGAGUAGCGAUAAAGCGGGUGAAAAGCCCGCUCGCCGAAAGCCCAAGGUUUCCUACGCAACGUUCAUCGGCGUAGGGUGAGUCGGCCCCUAAGGCGAGGCAGAAAUGCGUAGUCGAUGGGAAACAGGUUAAUAUUCCUGUACUUGAUUCAAAUGCGAUGUGGGGACGGAGAAGGUUAGGUUGGCAAGCUGUUGGAAUAGCUUGUUUAAGCCGGUAGGUGGAAGACUUAGGCAAAUCCGGGUUUUCUUAACACCGAGAAGUGAUGACGAGUGUCUACGGACACGAAGCAACCGAUACCACGCUUCCAGGAAAAGCCACUAAGCUUCAGUUUGAAUCGAACCGUACCGCAAACCGACACAGGUGGGCAGGAUGAGAAUUCUAAGGCGCUUGAGAGAACUCGGGAGAAGGAACUCGGCAAAUUGAUACCGUAACUUCGGGAGAAGGUAUGCCCUCUAAGGUUAAGGACUUGCUCCGUAAGCCCCGGAGGGUCGCAGAGAAUAGGUGGCUGCGACUGUUUAUUAAAAACACAGCACUCUGCCAACACGAAAGUGGACGUAUAGGGUGUGACGCCUGCCCGGUGCCGGAAGGUUAAUUGAAGAUGUGCAAGCAUCGGAUCGAAGCCCCGGUAAACGGCGGCCGUAACUAUAACGGUCCUAAGGUAGCGAAAUUCCUUGUCGGGUAAGUUCCGACCCGCACGAAUGGCGUAACGAUGGCCACACUGUCUCCUCCCGAGACUCAGCGAAGUUGAAGUGGUUGUGAAGAUGCAAUCUACCCGCUGCUAGACGGAAAGACCCCGUGAACCUUUACUGUAGCUUUGCAUUGGACUUUGAAGUCACUUGUGUAGGAUAGGUGGGAGGCUUGGAAGCAGAGACGCCAGUCUCUGUGGAGUCGUCCUUGAAAUACCACCCUGGUGUCUUUGAGGUUCUAACCCAGACCCGUCAUCCGGGUCGGGGACCGUGCAUGGUAGGCAGUUUGACUGGGGCGGUCUCCUCCCAAAGCGUAACGGAGGAGUUCGAAGGUUACCUAGGUCCGGUCGGAAAUCGGACUGAUAGUGCAAUGGCAAAAGGUAGCUUAACUGCGAGACCGACAAGUCGGGCAGGUGCGAAAGCAGGACAUAGUGAUCCGGUGGUUCUGUAUGGAAGGGCCAUCGCUCAACGGAUAAAAGGUACUCCGGGGAUAACAGGCUGAUUCCGCCCAAGAGUUCAUAUCGACGGCGGAGUUUGGCACCUCGAUGUCGGCUCAUCACAUCCUGGGGCUGUAGUCGGUCCCAAGGGUAUGGCUGUUCGCCAUUUAAAGUGGUACGUGAGCUGGGUUUAAAACGUCGUGAGACAGUUUGGUCCCUAUCUGCAGUGGGCGUUGGAAGUUUGACGGGGGCUGCUCCUAGUACGAGAGGACCGGAGUGGACGAACCUCUGGUGUACCGGUUGUAACGCCAGUUGCAUAGCCGGGUAGCUAAGUUCGGAAGAGAUAAGCGCUGAAAGCAUCUAAGCGCGAAACUCGCCUGAAGAUGAGACUUCCCUUGCGGUUUAACCGCACUAAAGGGUCGUUCGAGACCAGGACGUUGAUAGGUGGGGUGUGGAAGCGCGGUAACGCGUGAAGCUAACCCAUACUAAUUGCCCGUGAGGCUUGACUCU